rnacentral:misc_RNA from 1 species
UAAUAUAAUAAAUGUGCGGGUAAAACGACUAAUUAAAUAUAAAAUACAGGCCACACCUACCGUGUGUAAAUCGUGUUCAUUGAGGUCUCAACAACAGUAACAUUUUAGAACAGCCGCAUCGUGCAAAUACUAAAUUGAUGUAUUCAAUUGUCUCCUCACAUUUUAGCCUACAUAACUCGGUUACAGGAGGCUUACAUUGGUAGUUUCAUCCAAAAAUAGACAACCAAACACGUAAUUGAUGAAAUCUUGGCCCUUGAUUAUUUCUCCGUCUCCUAAAAUAGACCGUGUAUCAUACUUGCAUGCUCUUGUACAGUCAGGACAGUAAGUUACCUCCAAUAACUUUGGCCGAAAUGAGCGAUCAAGCAUUACAUCCACACCAUACAUUGCCCUCGAUGUUGGACUAUGCAUUUCUGGAUGUACUUGAGCAGCUGCUUCAAAAACAGAUCGAAUCAUAGCUUUCACUCUCUCAUGGAUAUCCAACCAUUUAACUUGAUGUUCUUGUUCAAAUUCACUAACAAACUCUGGCGUGUUCUUGUGAUUCAGUCGCCCACGAUAGUUCAUAACAGUGAAGUGAGUCUCGUACUCAAAAAGGCUGUGCUUGUCUAGAGUGUAUUGGUUAUUUGCCAAUCUCACCCAGAAAGUAUCUGCAAUAAAUAUUUGCAAAGGCUUCAUACUCCGAACUAGCACUAUAUAACGGAGAUCAAAUUUCUUCCCUUGAAACAAUGCAGGGUGCUCAAUAUAUUUCUGGCAUAUUUUUGGACCAGUCUCCAUCAGGCGGAUUAUAGCAGACAAAUUAUCAAUUACAGUUGUAUCAAUAGUACGCGCCAUGUUCCAAGGUUUUAAGAUCCAUAGGUUGUUCAUUCCAUCUCUUUUACGUAUGGAAUAGUCACCAAUAAAUGGAGAUAGAUGUGUCUCUAGAUUAUAAGUAGGUUGCAACCAUUCAGGAGACCCAUAGGCCUUCUGAACAGUAUCUGCCAAAUGAUGUUUCAUAACAAGA